GAUGAACGCUAGCGGGAGGCCUAACGCAUGCAAGCCGAGCGGGAUUUGUUGGUUAGCUUGCUAACUAACAAUGAGAGCGGCGUACGGGUGCGUAGCACGUGUGCAACCUGCCUUUAUCUGGGGGAUAGCCUUUCGAAAGGAAGAUUAAUACCCCAUAACAUAUUGAUUGGCAUCAGUUAAUAUUGAAAGCUCCGGCGGAUAGAGAUGGGCACGCGUAAGAUUAGCUAGUUGGUGAGGUAACGGCUCACCAAGGCUGCGAUCUUUAGGGGGCCUGAGAGGGUGAUCCCCCACACUGGUACUGAGACACGGACCAGACUCCUACGGGAGGCAGCAGUGAGGAAUAUUGGACAAUGGGUGAGAGCCUGAUCCAGCCAUCCCGCGUGAAGGACUAAGGACCUAUGGUUUGUAAACUUCUUUUAUACAGGGAUAAACCUACUCUCGUGAGGGUAGCUGAAGGUACUGUAUGAAUAAGCACCGGCUAACUCCGUG
rnacentral:rRNA from 1 species